ensembl:lncRNA
CCUGGUGCAAGCUCCUUGAUGUACAAAAGUGGAAAUCGGGGCCCAGAUGGAGAUCCCCUCAGGACAGAUCACUGCCCAGCCUCAUCUUCCAGGCUCGAACUUGCCCAUGUGCAGUUUCCUCCUGUUGGUUCCAGUCAUCUGUCAAUUGUCCUGGGAAGGCAAGGAGCUCAAGGGUGAAUGGCAGGAGAUUCUGAUUCCUCCUCCUGAGUGGGCUCCGUCCUGCCCACUUGGCCCCAUCUCAGAACUGACCUGGGUGAAUCUCUCCAAAAGGUCUCACCUGUGCCAGCUGGGUACUAAGGACCCAAAAGUGAAUCAGAACAUAGAUAUGUGAAAAGAUAUUUAACCUUGUUCAUAAUCAGAGAAAUAUAAAUUAAAAUUAAGCCAAGGGUUAUGUUUAAGUUUAUCAGAUUGGCAAAGCC